ACGUUUUUUACAUGUUUGAUGAUCACCUUUCUGUUACUAACAACUUUUAUCACAAUGGUGGUAACUGAACCACAUAUAAUACAGGUUCCGUGUCAAAAGGGUUACGUAAAAGUUAGUGGAGUAUGCAGAAAGGCUUAUAAAUAAGAAUUAAAGUCUUACUGAAGAAAUGACAAUAAUGCGGUUGCAGUUUACAAUUGGAAAACAAUAGAAGCGAUUAUAAGCACAUAUUGUAAAUGAGCAAAUAAAAAUAAACUAUUGUA